UGUGCACCGGUGGGGUCCCUCGGCCUGGCCUGCGCCCUCUUGCAAUCUCGGACACCUUGGGGGAUGUUGGAGACCCCAUUUUGGCCUGAUCCUGCAGGCCAGGCCGAGGGACCCCACUGGUGCACU
rnacentral:pre_miRNA from 1 species